rnacentral:lncRNA from 1 species
AUGAUAUGUACUCUUGCACUUCUCUGCCAGAAUAGAUUUGAAUCUGUGACUUCAGGGUCAAGGAGAGUGAGUUCUGUGAGUGAAUCUCCUACUGCAAGAUGUUCUGAGGAGAGCUGCAUGGUGUCAACCGUUGACUCCUUUCUGACAUCUAGUCUCUACGAGAAGUCAGGUAAAGAGAAAAAAGGUGAAUACAGAAGUAAUUGUUUAGGGGAAAAAAGAGGCAACAUCAACAAGACUUUGGGUUUUGACCAAUAUGAAAGGAUAUUGUGCUUAUCCUAAUCAAAGAUGCAAAUGCUGGUAAGUAAGCACAUUUGUUUUCAUUGGAGGAUAGAACCAUUGAUCCGUUUGCCCUUGCUAUGUUGUCUAAUUGAUCACUUAACUGGCUGCUUGGAUUAAAAUGUAUUCCUGGCAUUUCCCCUCUCGGGGGAAUGUUCCCCUUUCCUCCUCUCAGUUUCUAUUUUUUAAAUUCUUAGAAAAUAUUAAAAAUCAGUUUACAGUACUCUCUUUUUCUGAAUGCAGACCAGGCUUCUAGUAUCUCUUCAUAUUUUAAACACAUUGUGAGCUUUAAAGCAAUGUUCUAUUCCUCUGUUAUGUUUUCUGUCUCUAAGUGCUGCAUUUACUUUGUCACUUCCCAUUUACUGGUAAUUGGCUCCUGCAAGAAAUCUACAUUUUUUGCUUGCCGGAAAUUUGCAAGUGCUACAAUUCAGUUUCAGUAUUAUAAAUCGAGCAAUGUUUGUGAAACAGCAGUCUCAUAGAUAUUAUCUUUAUUUAGCCUAUAGACUUAAAAUCAAUCUGGUGAAAUCCAAGAAGACAUAUUUAGUGUAAGCUUUAAUUUUAUAUUUUCUUCUGUGAUUCAUCAGAUCAUGUACCAUCAUGUAUAAGAAAACGUGUCAAUUAAAAAAAAAAAAAAUCAAUAUUUGGCUAAAGUUACCAUUUCAAGGUAUGCAGCCUUCAUUUAGGAAGCAUUAUUUCGCAGUUAAAAUUUUGAACUGGGAGCCAGGAACCAUACAGUAACAGCCUGGCAGAAAAGGGCCUAGGAUCUUGGUGGACACCGUGUUGAGCAUGAGCCAGUGCUCGUGCACCCUUGUCACAAAGAAGGCUAACAGCAUUCUUGGAUGCAUCUGGCAAAGUGUUGCCCACAGGUCA